rnacentral:rRNA from 1 species
UACGAAGGGGGCGAGCGUUGUUCGGAUUUACUGGGCGUAAAGCGCGUGUAGGCGGCCCUGCAAGUCGGGUGUGAAAUCCCACGGCUCAACCGUGGAAGUGCACUCGAAACUGCAGGGCUAGAGUCCUGGAGAGGAAGGUGGAAUGCUUGGUGUAGAGGUGAAAUUCGUAGAUAUCAAGCGGAACACCGGUGGCGAAGGCGGCCUUCUGGACAGUGACUGACGCUGAGACGCGAAAGCGUGGGGAGCAAACAGG